GAAAUUUCGAGUAAUGUGAUAGGUGAUAUAUAACCCUAGCUUAUCUCACAAAAAACACCGUAAUUCAACUCAAAAAGCUAAUACCUACGUCUACAGAGGCUACUGACUUGUACAUAAGAAACAUAAAAAUUUGCUAAAUAGUCCUACCAAUUAUAAAAUUUUCUAAACAACCACAAGAACAUAUACAAUUAUUGUUAGAGAUCCAGAGAGCCAAAAUACUUGGAAAGAAUCCUUCUUGAUUGGCCUUGUCAAUGAACGACACUCAUGGGUUUAAUACUGCACCCAACCCAAAACCUAGAGGUAAUGGGUCUACAUAUUUCCCACUUAUAUGUGAUUCUCAUCCCUUCUCUUUUCAAUGAUGUAAACCAGAACUUAACUCACACUUGCAUAUUUCUUAAUACAUCUCCUCCUCAAGCAGGAGUCUCUUCAUUAGGCUUUACUGGGUUUGUCCCCUCAAACAGAAGCUUUGUUAACUCAAAGUAUUUACAACAUCACCAAGACCCAAUUAUUCCACUAAGCCCAUCAUGAACCAUCCACGCUACUAUCAUUCGUGUGAGCAUGCAACUCUAAGUGCAAAACGAGCCAUUACAAAUACCGAAAGUCUCUACUCCAAUGGUCUGCUCUUCUCCAAGAGAAUAUUUUAGUACUCCAUUAGACUUCUUUUAACAAGAGUAACCACCCUAUCGGCCUAUUGGGAGUCUUCUUACUCUUCUAUCACCGUGUGGGAAGACCACGAAAAUGACAAAACACCGUCUCUAUACUUGUCCUUGCUAGCCAUUGGCUACUAAGAGUCUCAUUACUCUUCCAUCACGAUGUAGGAAGAUCACGGGAAUUACAGACCAUCAUCUCUAUACUCAUUCUUACUGAUCCAUCAACUCUAAUACUAGUUUGUUAGAGAUCGGAGGAGUCCAAAACGACUUGGGAGAAUGCUUUGUGAAAGAAUAGUACUCAUGGCCUUGAUACUAUAUCCAACUCAAAACCUUUAGUAAUGGUCCUUCCCAUUUAUAAGUCCUUUAGUCAUUCCAUCUCUUUUCAAUUUGAGAAUUCUAACUCAAUUUACACUUGCAUAUUUCCUAACAAUUACUUAUUGAAUUUCCUGUUAACAAAAUAAGAAUCAUAGUUAAGAAGAGGCACUUCUCUCCAAGACGGGCUUGGGUUGCGGUUAAGACUUAGUCUAUGCUCAUGAGGAGGAAUAUAAACUACAUCAUAAGGCCAACGCUUAAUGUACAGUCCAUAUUUUUUACUCUACAGUGUUCAUGUGCAAACAUCAAUCCUUAAAAUCCAAUCUUUUUUUUUUUUCACCUUCUUUUAGGGUUCUUCUUAAACUUCAUUAAAUGCCAGCACUACCAUUAGUUCAUAAAACUUUUUCCAGAUGUCAAUCAAUCUGAUGCUUUUCUGUUGGUACAUUGCCAUCAUUGACCUCGACACUUUUCUCCCUUGCUCUCACUGAUACUCAUAUUACUUCAGUUACCCUUGAACCUAGGUUCUGCAAUAAUACUCUCAAAUAUAUGGCGUCUAAAUUAGUUAUAGCAUGCUUUUCUUUUUGUAUGAUUUUCUAAAUGUAGAUCCUCCAUGACUAGGAUAGGCUAUAUUCCCCUCAAGCAAUAGGAACAACUUGAGUAAAUCUUACCUUUUCACUACCAUUUUUGAGUCCAUUGAGCUUUUAUCACUGCCUUCCUAAAUUUUUAUAAGCAAUAAUAUUAAAGAAAAAACUGUCCUCAUCCAUGCAUUGGACUUCUCACUAAAUAUGGUGGGACCAUUACAAUGCAUUAGACAUGCUGAUCAUUCUCUUGUCAACAAUCCUUAGAGACCUUUGGCCACUAGCACUGGUGCAACUCACAACUUUGCAAAGUUCUGCUACUAGUCUGUGUGAUGCUAUAUUUUCACUAGGUACACAUACAUGUCACUCCUGUAAAUCCUGGCAUUGCAUGGAACAAGAGCAGAAGGUACUCGGGCCAUAAGCCUCAAAUAAAUUUUAUUGCUUGAACAAAUAUCUUCUGCUGAGGACAACAAGAAAGGCCAGCCAUGGUUGGCUUAUUGAUUACUAAAACAAUUUAAUUCAUUGGUCUAGUCAGACCUAAAUUAACCAUCCCUACAAGGUGGGUUCACAAAUAUCAUCAAACAAUUUGCCCUGCAAAAGCAAUAGUUUAACAAAAUCAGAACUUACACUCAACCCCGCCAAUGGAGUUAU
rnacentral:misc_RNA from 1 species